UUCUAUAUUGAUAAAUUUAAUCAAUUUAGUCCUAAAACUUUUUUCACCAAUCAAAUUUUAUUUUUACCACUAAAUUCUUCUUUUCUUCUGAUUCAGCCACCAGCCGCCCGGCCUUGUGUCGACCACCAACCGCCCCUCUCUCAUAGCCUUGCUUUGCGCCUCCAUCAAACUCUCCACAACACCUACUACCCCAUGCCUUUUACCACCAUCAGCCUUAAGCCAUUGCUCCAACCACCAAGCACACACUACCCAACACAAAACUCAACACCCACAGUUGCGUCCACUACCACUCCUCAAAGCUCUAUUGUUCUCCCAACUCCAGGCCGCAAGCAAGCCUUCAGGCAAGCCGCACCAUUACACUGAUCAACGCUCCUACAUUAACAUUUCCACCACGUCCAACCAAAGCUCCUUCCAGCUACACAAGGAUGUUUAUAGUACCACUAGAAAACACUGUAAAAUAAAACAAAAUGGCCUAGUUAUAAUAAUUCCUAACCGUUUCUAUUUUCAUUUCCUUUUUUUCUUAAAAAUUGGUGUACUUUGGGGGCAUCAUUAGGAGAAGAAAUAGAAGAGAAUAAAGGGAUACAGCAG
rnacentral:lncRNA from 1 species